GAUGAACGCUAGCUACAGGCUUAACACAUGCAAGUCGAGGGGAAACGACAUCGAAAGCUUGCUUUUGAUGGGCGUCGACCGGCGCACGGGUGAGUAACGCGUAUCCAACCUGCCCAUCACUUGGGAAUAACCUUGCGAAAGUAAGACUAAUACCCAAUGAUAUCCCACGAAGGCAUCGGAAUGGGAUUAAAGAUUUAUCGGUGAUGGAUGGGGAUGCGUCUGAUUAGCUUGUUGGCGGGGUAACGGCCCACCAAGGCAACGAUCAGUAGGGGUUCUGAGAGGAAGGUCCCCCACAUUGGAACUGAGACACGGUCCAAACGCCUACGGGAGGCAGCAGUGAGGAAUAUUGGUCAAUGGGCGAGAGCCUGAACCAGCGAAGUAGCGUGCAGGAAGACGGCCCUAUGGGUUGUAAACUGCUUUUAUAAGGGAAUAAAGUGGGUCACGUGUGACUUUUUGCAUGUACCUUAUGAAUAAGGACCGGCUAAUUCCGUG
rnacentral:rRNA from 1 species